AUUUGGAAAUCUAUAAAUGUUUGCAUGGAAUAUGGAAAUAUACACAGAAUAAACCAUAGCAGGAUAAUUUUGGGUCAUUUGGUUCCAAAAACCCAUAUGGAUGGAGCGUAUGAAAAUUUAAAGUAACGAGUGUGUCGUAUAUGUGCUGUUGACGUAGAAAACCACUCUGUUGCUUAUAAUUAGUUCAUUGUGGCCAUGUCAUUCUUUACAUGUGAUGAUUAUACUCAACUGAUAAAUAGAGUAUAUAAUAAU